CAUCAGAGGUGUGGACGCAGGAGGAGGGGAGCCGGGAGAAAGAGACGCUAAAUCCCGAUCCAGGAAAGAGGACGGGAGAAUAUAAAUUUAACGCCGAAGCAAAAAGAGCAGAAAAAUGGCAAACCGACGCAUACAAGAUGUGGAAAUUCAGGCCCAGGGAGAAAUGACUUUCCAAGAUUUGGAAGCAGAAUUACCAGCAAGAGUGGAAUCCAUGUGACCUGAGCCUCCUUCCACUCCCCACUUCCCUGCCCCCCAUCAACGGCCUUUCCCCUUGGCUACUUUACAUUGGCAUGAAAAUCUGCCAUCUCUGUAAAGACAUCAGUGCCAACCAGCUGCCACCCACUCUAAAAACACCACUAUCAUCUUGCUCACCAUUUCACUUCAGACCCAGAUCCAACGAAUCAAUUAAAAAAAUAAAAAAUAAAAUUAGAUUUUUUAAAAGCAAUAAACAUCUAUUAAAUAUCUACUGCGUGGGGAUGGAGACAGUCCAGUGUCAAAUGGUUUAACACCAGGAAACUGCCAUGAUUUUAAUCAGUGGUAACAUUAAAGAAGAAGCAUUGCUUAUGAAUGAGCCCGUAGGACCAUGGGAUUUUCCCAGGUAAAGCCUCCUAUGUGUGUUGUCUUUCCCCAUUAGAAUGGCAGCUCCUUAGGAUAGGAACUGUCAUAUUUCUUUUCCCAUCUGGGUGCUUCUCUCAGCAUUGAAUAUAGUAGGCACUUAAUAAAUGCAUUAUUCAUUCCUAUGUCCAUCCAUCUGAAGGAAGAAACAGUAAGAUGACUUGGAUCAGUUACAGUGAAGAACUAACAGUGACAGUUUACUGGCCCACAAAACUCACUGAGUCAGCAUCAUGCCUGAGCAGCCAGAUGAGCUGAUGACAUUAGGCUUCCUGGAGAGGCCUAGCUCUCCAACAAAGCCCAAUUGACUACAUUUGACCAGGUUUUUAUUCUGAGCUACAUUUUUAGAAAAGACACAACCCUGAAAUCUGGAAACUCCUGAAUUUAGAAGGCACUUUUACUUUUGAUCAUUUGGAGGUGAUUGUCUAGAGCAUCUCUGCUUUUGAUCCAAAAGGAAGUCCAAUAACUUUUGACAUUUGUACCUAUCCCACAUCUAAAAUAUCAUAGAGGUCAAUGCAGCCAGCCCUAUUUACCAACACCCCUGAACUGCCAGGAAUCAUUAAGAUUCAAGAAUAUAUCAGUUGGCUUCUUACAGAGUGGAGAAUCCUAGAUCCUCCCCCCACCCCCAUUAUAUAAGGAGGUAGACAUUUUCAGGAAUUUGGUCUCUCUUGGACAUGAGGUUGAUACUCCAAACUGAAAGUUUGGAAGUUUUUUUUUUUACUUUUGAGGAUGAAAACCAGAGGAGUAGCUGCCUAGGUAAUGAAUGUAGAAAGGCAUUUUCCCAGAAAGAUCAGCUAAGAAAUUAUAAGAGAAUUUAUACUGGAGAGAAAUUUCAUCUAUGUAAUCAAUGUGGCCAGUCAUACUCCCCCAAAAUUCAGCUUCAUAAACACCAGAUAUGCCACAUGGGAACAACAUAUUCUUAUUGUCAUCAAUGUGGAAAGUUUUUUUUUUCUUGAGAUGGAAUUUUAUUGGUCAUCAGAAAAUUUACACCAGAAAAAAAAACAACUUAUAAAUGUAAUGGAUGUAGAAAGGCCUUUAGGUUGAGAAAUUAGCUUGUAUGUCAAAGAAUUUGCAGUGGAAAUAUACAGUGGAAAUACUUAUAAAUGUAAUGACUGUGGGCUUUUCAUCAGAAAAGUUAUCUAGUUCAACACUGAGAACUCACAUUGGGGAAAGACCUUAUAACAGUGAUGGUGAACCUAUGGCAUGGGUGCCAGAGGUGGCACACAGAGCAUUCUCCAUGGGCACAUGGCUGCCCCCCCCCAAUUCAUUACUAGAAAGGUAGAGGGACUCAGACAGAGCUACUCCCUUCCCCCUCUCCACCAUGCCUGAUGGCAUUUUUUCACAUCUCUUGCCCCUAUGCCCAGCAGCCCAAUGGGAGUGCUUUCUACCUCCCCUGUGCAAGGUAAGGGGGUGGGCAGGGCAUACCCAACUCUUGGUGGGGAGGUGGGACAGACACAGGAUGCAGUCUCUGUAGGAUGGGGUAGGGGUGGCGGUGGGUCCCAGCAUUCUAUCUCUAAAAGGUUCACCAUCACUCCCUUACAAAUAUAAUGACUGGAGAAAGGGCUAUGGGCACAAAAUUAACUUUCCUAAGCAUCAGGUGAUAUCUACCUUGUUUUUUGUUUAUUGAUGGAAAUUCAUACUAAUAUUCAUGUUUUGGACAAAUGAUGUAUAUUGUAAUAUUCUCUUUCAAAUAUGCAUUAAACCUAGAUGAGAAGUAAAAAAAAAAAUCCAGAAAGAUCGUACCACAUAGAAAUUGUAUGAAUGUGAUGAAAUGUACGUUUUCCUCUAUUUAAUCAAUACUAUUCUCAUUAUUAUUUCUUAGUAGAAAGAGGAACCUUUGAACUAUGACUUUCCAUUUCUUUUAAUGGGUUUUCCAGCUCCCAAGACAUCUCAUUCCACUUUGGGACAACAGGAAUUGAUAGGAAGUUUUUCCUCACAUAGAGCUAAAAUCUACCUCUUUGUAACUGGUACCCAUGGUUGCCAGACCUAUCUGCUGGGGCCAAAUAACAGAGGUCUUUCUACUCACCCAAUCCCACCCUCCCUCCUUUUUCCAAGACUCUCCUUCUCUGGGCUCAACAUUCUCAGUUCCUUCAUUUGGAUGUGGACUUGGAGACCUGGCUUUGAAUUCUAGUUUUGUCUUAUAUUCACUGAGUAUCUCUGAGAAAGUGAAUCAAUCUUUCUGGUUCUGUUUCCUCAUUGGUAAAAUAGAGAAAAUAAGACUCCCCACUCUAUACCACCCUGAUUAGUUGAGGAAACAGUGCUUCAGCAAUACUUCUCUUAUAUUUCUGCUCUUUUGCACUUGUUUGCAAUGUUUUUAUGCCCUAAUACAUGGUCAGUUUUUGUGCUCUUAUAUUUCAUAGAGCCAAAAUUAACUUUCUAAAUCAUGAGGUCAAAUGCAUAUUUUAUAAUAAAUAUAUAGAUAAUAUAUGUCAUAUUGCCUGUCUUCUGGGGAAGGGAGGAAAAGGAAAGAGGUGAGGAGAGAACAUGGAUUGCAAAAUGUCAGAAAGCAAAUAUUUUUUAAAACUAUGUUGACAUGGUAAUCUGGAAAAAAAUAAAAAUGGAUUAUUAAACAAAAACAAAUCAUGAGGUCAGAACCCUUCAUUUUAUUUUAUUUUUAUUUUUAAAAAUCCUUACUGGGACAGCUGGGUAUCUCAGUGGAUUGAGAACCAGGCCUACACAUGGGAGGUCCUAGGUUCAAAUAUGACCUCAGAUUCCUAGCUAUGUGACCCUGGGCAAGUCACUUAACCCCCAUUGCCUAGCCCUAACCACUCUUCUGACUUGAAACUAAUAUACAGUAUUAAUUCUAAGACAGAAGGUAAGGAUUUUUUUUUUUUAAACCCACAGUUGAGAAGUGUCUGAGGUCAUAUUUGAACCCAGGAACUCCUAGCUCUAAGCCUUGUUUUAAAUCAAUUGAAACACUUAGCUGCCCCUAGAACCCCAUAUUUUACAGGAAACUUCAAUCAACAAGCUUUUAUUAAUAGUUUUGCUUGCCAGUCACUGAAGAUGGCCAAAAAUAGUCUCAGUUUUCAAGGACACCACAGGAUGUGGAGGGAGCCAGCCAUGCAAACAGUUAAAUGAUAUGUGUCUAUCUGUGUGUAUAUAUGCUUUUUAUAAAAAAUAAUUCUCCCCACUCUUUUAAAAAAAUAAUCUGUAAUUUUAUCUAUAUUUUAUUAAAAUUGACAAUUGAUUACAAUUUUAUGACAUACAAAUCUAAAACAAAAAUAAAAAUAACAGUUUAUUCAUCCAUAAACUACACAAUAUUUACAUUUAUAACUUACAAAAUAAUUGCAAUAACAAUAUUUUAAUGUGAUAGAAGACCUUGUUUUUCUGCCCAAAGCUCCCUAAAAUGUGGUGCUGCUACUAGGAAUCCUUUCUUCAGAUAUUUUUGAGAUUUUUGCUUUCAUAAUAGCUACAGUAAGAAACCUUGUUUCACACAAAUAAGAUAAAAGUUCUGAAUUGUGGUAAAAUGUUAUUGCUUCCUUUGAUAAAAUGGGAAAAUCUUUAUUCAGCUGUAGCCAAAACCACAAAAGUUUUAAGUUCAAAUGUUUGUUUCAAUGUGCCAACCAACAUGUCCUCAAUUACCCAGAUUUGUUCCCAAGAAGUAAGACCAUUUGUAUCUUAUUUGCUCAUGGCAUAGCACAUUGAGCUCCUUAUUCUUUUAUGUUUAGAAAUAUCUAGGCCAUUUAAAUAAAAUUAGAAUAGAACAAUCAAAUGAUAAGCAAACUUGUCUUUACUGUCUUCUAUUUGUUUCUGAGAAGCACAUCAAAAACUUUAUUUUGCUAAUUCAUUACACAGAGAUUUAACUUCUCCAUUCCACAUCACCUACCAUUUUCUUUCUUUUUUAUUUAAAAAACCCUUACCUUUCAUCUUGGAAUCAAUACUGUAUAUUGUUUCCAAGGCAGAAGAGUGGUAAGGGCUAGGCAAUGGGGGUUAAGUGACUUGCCCAGGGUCACACAGCUAGGAAGUGUCUGAGGCCAGUUUUGAACCCAUCUCUAGGCCUGACUCUCAAUCCACUGAGCUACUCAACUGUCCCCUCACCUACCUUUUUAGAUCAGAGUAAAGAUUUGAGGAAGGUUGAUGAAUGUAUCAUAUUCAUUCUUUUCAAAAAUUAUUCAUUAAAUAUGAAAGUUUCAAGAGAUGAUAGAGAACCCAUGAUUCCCCCUCCUACCAUGGAGAAUUUUAGUUGCUACAAAUAACAUCAACAUUUUCCUUAUAUAAUGAGAGCAUUUUUUGAUACUUAACAAUUCCAUAAGCAACCAUACAAGAAGCAAGAAGUUCUUUUAAAAUUUUAUUUUCUUGUUACUUUUGUCAACCUGGAGAAACACAGAACCACUAAAGUAGUCAGUAAAACCCAGUCUUGAAUCAGGAAAGAGACAGUUGUCAAUAUCUGGCGGCCACACAGCCAAGUGCCCAAGAAUCAACAGAGCCAAGGGCUCAGCGACUCUGGGAACUGUGUCUCUGAGAGAACCACUGAGAGAGCUGAUUCUCCAAAGAACUUGGGGACUGAUGUUACUUUUGAGGGAACUAAGGAAAGGGAAAUGCAAUUGAUUGGCUUUACAACGGCUACAAGAAAAUGCAAACAUCAAAAUAAGAUUAUCAGGGAGAGGCUGAUGCUUUACAAUGGAUAUUAAAGAAAGAAUCCAGCUAACUACUGGCCUUCCAGGGAGAGGACUCUGAUAUAAUGGGAGAAGCUUCUUAGACAAAAAGGGUACUUAACUUUGGAUUCUAUUUACUAGUCUAAACUAAACUGGGAUCAUUAAGUACUUUAAGGUCUAUUGUUCAGUCUGAAGUGGGGUCAAUCUGGGACCUCCCUAAAGGUAUUUUCCCAAGGGACAAGGGAAAACUUGGGGUUCCCAAAUUUCACAUGGACACUUUGUUAGUUACAUUAAAAUUUCCAGAUAUUUCUCUCCUUUUUGUUUGUUUUUGUUUUAUUUUUAAAAUUUGUUGUUGUCGUUGGUUUGUUUUCAAGCAAUCUUUUUGAUGUUAUAGAUAUGGCUUUUGAAAAAGACUGUUUUUACUUGUUAAAAGUUUCUGAUUUUCUCUGGAAAAAAUUCUUUACACAUACACUUCAGGUUUAUGCAUUUCAUGUGCUUAAGUCAUCUUUAAUCAUCUUUGAUUGUAUCUGUUUAGCUUCUCCAUUGGAUUCCUUCUAGUAUUUAUCCAUCAGGAAAGGACACUUUCUCUUUUUUAAAAAUACAACAAAAUUAAGGGGUAAGAAAGAAGAACAUCCAGAGAAGGGACAUGUGGAAUGGGGGUAAAUUAUCCUAAAUGAAAGAGCUUUUAUAGUGGAAAGAAAGAUGGGGAAGUUGGUAGGGGAAGCCCAUUGAACCUUAUUUUUUUUUAAAUUUAAUUAAUUAAUUUAGAAUUUUUUUCAUGGUUACAUGAUUCAUAUUCUUUUCCUCCCCUCUUCCCUCCCCGCCCCCCUUGGAGCCAAGAAGCAAUUCUACUGGGUUUUACAUAUAUCAUUGUUCAAAAACUAUUUCCAUAUUAUUAUUAUUUGCAAUAGAGUGAUUAUUUAAAGUCAACAUCCCCAAUAAUAUCCCCAUCAAAUCAUGUUAUCACCAUUGAACCUUAUUCUCAUUAGACUUGGCUCAAAGAAGGAAUAGCAUGCACAUUCAGUGGGGUAUAGAAAUCUAUCUUAUCCUACAAGAAAGUAGGAGGGGAAGGGGAUAAGAGAAGGGAGUAUGGUGGGGCUGAAAGAAGAGAGGGCAAAUGGUGGAGGUGGUGUCAGAAACCCAACACUUUUAAGGAUGGACAAAAUAAAAGGAAAGAGGAUAGUAUAAACAGAGGGGGAAAUAAGGCAGAAGGUAAUACAUAGUAAUCAUAAUGGUGGGAAAACUGUUUUAAUUAAAUCACAUUUUUCUCUGAUUAUGUGUAAAAAACAGUUAACAUUAAAAAAAAAUUGAAUCUGAAAUUCUUUGCCCAUUACCCAAAGCAAGCAAUCUCAUAUAGAUUUUACAUAUGCAAUCAGAAAAAAAAUGAGAAACAUUUUUAACAAUUCCAUAGUAAAGACCUUAUUUCUCAAAUACAGAGAGAAAUGAGUUCAAAUGCAUAAGAAUACAAGUCAUUCUCCAAUGUAAACAGGCAAUUAGACAAAAUAAUUAAACCUCUCUAUAAUCAUAUAAAAAUGCUCUAAAUCACUAGUAGUAGUAGUAGUAGUCUCUUGGUAACCGAGGAUGACGAUUGUCUUUGUGCGUUUUCAUCUAUGAUAGAUGAGUGUGCACAAAAACACUUGUGUGUGAAGGAGAUUUAAGUGGAAAAGUGGGUGCACAGAGACAGUCCCACUCUCUCGGCAUUGGAAGCCUGGGCCCAGUGGCACGAAAAGUCGUUACACCUGGAGACUUCCUCAGCUGCACUGGUUGGCCGUGGCUGUGUUGUCCUUUGUGCUCCAACAUGCCCUGAGCACUCCACAGUGCCUUGCUGCAUCGCCAUCUCAGCCGUUGAACCUUCUUAUUGGUUUCUUCCGUCUGUUCAGCCAAAGCAGUCUUCACAUGCUGGGUGAGCAAAGCCCUGGUUCACCAGGGGUCGACGACCUGAUGGCUACCCUCACAAGGUUUGGCCGGCCUGUCAAAGCCAUUGCCUGGGGUGUGGCCGCUGCCACAUGCUAGCAGCUACUGGGAGCCACAAGUGAGAGCUGGGUGUCAGGUGGGGGUCAGAGUCUGGAGAACUGCCCUAGGAGGGCACAACAAGCCCUCCAUACCAGAGGUACUACUCCUCCCUGAGCACCCCAUACACCCCUACUAUUUAUUAGAGAAAUGCAAAUUAAACAACUCUGAGGUACCACCUCACACCUAUCAGACUGGCUAUUAAGACAGAAAAGGAAAAUGACAAAAGAUGGAGGGGAUGUAGGGAAAUUGAGACAUUAAUGCACUGUUGGGGGGAGUUGUGAACUGGUUCCACCAUUCUGGAGAGCAGUUUGGACUUAUAUCCACAGGGCUAUAAAACAGUACAUUCCUGGGGCAUCUGGAUAGCCAGGCUUAAACACUGGAGAUUUUAGGUUCAAAUAUAACCUAAGAUUCUUCCUAGUUGUGUGUCCCUGAGCAAGUCACUUAAUCCUAACUGGCUAGCCCUUACCACUCGUCUGCAUUAGAAAUGAUACUUAGUAUGGAUGAUAUUUAUUAUAUAUUAUUGCAUAUGAUAUAUAAACUAAUUAAUACUAUCAACUAAUUAUUACUAAUAUAUAACUUAUCAUUAAUUAAUACAUCAUAUGUUAAUGUUGUUUAUUAUUAUUCCUGGUUAUAAGAUAGAAAGUAAGGGUUAAAAAAACAGACAAAAAAAACAGGCCUUCAUAUUCUCUCCCUCCCAUCCUACUCCCCAAUCUCCAGGAAAGAAAAAGUAACCCUUAUAACAAAUUUAUAGAAACAAAUCCCCAUCUUGUUGGUCAUUGUUUUAUUUAUUUAUUUGUGGUUUUUGUUUAUUUAAACCCUCACCUUCCAUCUUAGAAUCAAUACUGUGUCUUGGUUCCAAGGCAGAAAAAUGGUAAAGGUUAGGCAAUGGGAGUUAAGUGACUUGCCCAGAGUCACACAGCUGGGAAGUGUCUGAGACCAGAUUUGAACCUAGGACUUCCUGUCUCUAGGCCUAACUCUCAAUCCACUGAGCUACUCAGCUGUCCCCUCACCUACCAUUUUAGAUCAGCCAUUGUUUUAUGAUACCUUAACUCUUCUCAAAAGGUCUUGUACCUUGUUUCCAAUGUUGGAAAAAUCUGCCCUAGAUAAUUAUUUCCUACUUGCCUCCACUGAAACCCUACUCCUGGGCUUUUCUAUGGUGUGAAAGUAACUCUGAACUCUCCAAGAUUAUGAUAGCAGAGGUCAAACUCUGGAAGGUUCUUGGGUUUAUCUUAUAUGUCUCUCAUCUAGAAACCAGCCUAGCUAAAUUGGGAGACAUUUAUCACCAUGGCUUGAAUUUUUCUGGAUACUGUGAACUUUAAAAACUACUCCACCUUAAUUAGAAUGACAAAAAAUAAGACCAGGAAAUGACACUUCCCUAUCAAAAUAAAAUUCUAGUUCCUUUUCUUCUUAUAGUAUGGCAACUUCCUGUAGUCUUGACUGCAAAUGGGUAAGUGAAAUAUUACUGCAUUCUGUCCUACAGACUUGUGGGAUAGAAACUAUUUUAAAUUGGACCUAUAAAAGGGCUUGUUAGAAAUUUAUUAAACCCAAAUAAGGGCCUAUUUUGAAUUUUUUUCUUUCCAUUUUUUCCCUUUCCUUAUGUUUUUUUUGUUUGUUUUUCUCUUCUUUUGAUAAUUGAUUCAUACAACCCCAUAACUCAACAUUGCAUCCUGAGCUGAACUGGAUGUUUUUUAACACACACUUGGGGGGGGGGGUGUUGUAUUUUAAUAAAAAUCCAAGAUUUUGAAUUUUUGUUCGAGAAAGAUCUUCAAGGAAGAAGCUUGCUAACUCCUAAACCCAGAGAACGAACUGUUGCAGAAAGAUGCCAGAAAACCUACACUACAUCAAGAAGAUCAAGAAUGAACUGUGGGUGUGGUUGAUUGAACUGAAGUUUGAUUGAACAUUUAUUGUAAAUGUACACUUUUAUGCCAAAGGGGACUGCCCCUAAUUUGACUUUUUGUCAAUGCGCCUAGCAAAAUAUUGGUUUUGCUUUCUCUCUUUUCUAUUCCUCCCUAACUAUUGUAAUUUCCUCUUAGAAAUUGAAUAUUGUAUACAUCUAUAGUUAGAAGUACUUUAGGACUACAAGAUGAUUAUGUUAAAUGAUCAAUGGGGAGACUAGUUUCCCAAUGAUCAUCAUGGGGGGGAUUGUGAACUUUAAAAACUACUCCACCCUACUUAGACUAUACUUUAGGGGAAGACAAAAUUGUAAUCACCUGAUUGAACAAUGAAGGCACUUAGUUCUCACCUUAUAGUGAAGCUAGAACUUUAAGCUAAGUCUAUUUUUAGAUCUAAUACAAAAAGGUGUUAAGUAACUAUAAAGGUUAAAUUAAUCACAAAAAGGUCAAGUAACUCACAAAAGGUGAACUUAACAAAGAAAUGUUAAGUAACUCUAAAGAUAUAAUCAAAUCAAAGAAGGUGAGAACUGUAAGAUUUAAAAGAGUGGGAGCCAUAAACUGUAAUAGUUAAAAUGGUUGGGUGUCAUAAACUGUAGUGAUUAAAAUAGUGGAAGAUAUAAAUUGUGAUAGAUAUAAAGAGUGGAUGAGUAAGUUGUGACCGCAGGAAAUAUGUUUUCACUACAGUGUUUUGUUUUUAAAUCAAAUAUAAGGUGGUUGCCAGGGAAAUAUUCCCAAUUAUUCAAAUAUACCCAAGUCAGCUGGGUUUUAUAGAGAUUUUAAUUAAUACAAAUGAGGAAUUAAAGAAAAGGAGAGAAAGAGAGAAAAAGGAGAAUAAUGAGAAAAGGAUAAGCUGGCCCUGGCCAGUCCUGGCCAACCCAGGCCUAAGCCCUAAGAGAAAAGAUCAGUCAGUCCUUAAUCACUCAUCACAAGAUCUGUCCAAGCAAGGAUUCUAGUGACACCAGACCAGCUCCAUCUCAGCUCAAUCCUCAAACUGAAUGUUUCAGAAUGUCCCUUGAGCUCCUAUCUGAGCUCCUAUUUAAAGAGCAUUUUCUCCUAUGUCACCUCCCCUAAGUCCUUACAUCUACAAUCACAGUAGAUGUUUUUCAAAGGACAGAUCAUUCUUAGUUCACACCUGAGUAGACUAGAAUCUCUGAGUAAGUUUUCACCUCUUUGCUCCUUGUAAGUUCACAAGUUGCUUGACCUUUAUAGGUACUUAGCACCCUUUUUGUAUUAGUACUAAAAUAGGCAUAGCUUAAGUAUGGGUUUAAAGUAUUUUUCAAUGUUCAGAAAAGAGUUUACAACUUUAUCUUCCCCUAGGGCAGACUUAAGUAGGUGAGUUCUCACAUUCCUAAUCUAAGUAGAGUUCACUGCCCAAAUGUGGAAUGGUCUUAAUCCAAUCUUAUGAAGUAGGGUCUGGGAAUUUUUAAGGUUCACAGAACUAAAAGUAUGGGCAGUCCUGGAGAAAAAGCCUUUAAUGUGAUUGGUAGAUGUGAAAAUUUGGAGAAGGAGACACAAGGAUGAAAGGUCUAUAUAUUUGAGAUUUUUCAUCCCUCAAGGACACUCUCUCUCUCUUUCCCUGAUUGGUGGUGGAGAGUUAGCUAUGAGCUGCAUGCUGAGCCUUUCUGCAUCUUAGUGUGGCUACAAGCUAUUGUCCAGUUCAAUGGUGGUGAGUUUCUGGCUGAAUUUUCCUCCUUUACUUUCCAACUUUUUCCUCUCAAAAGCCUCUAAUUUUCUUCAGAGACCUAGAGGUGGGGAGUUUAAAACUCCCCCUGGCAUAGGCCAGGUAGGAGAAAUCCUAUAUCCUCUUUCCUUCUUCUUAAAUUCCUUCCUUCUAUAUUAAUUAAAUUACCAUAAAUUUCCAGACUGACUUGGGAAUUUUAUUUGGCGACCAUUUAAAUCUAGAUUUAAAGUCACAACCCUAAAAUUAUCUGACAAUACUCAUAGAACUAAGGAGUGAAACAGCCACAUUCAUUUUGAUGGAAUGAAUAUCCCAUAGAUUAAAAUCCUGGAUGAUUGAAGUAUGGGCAUGUAAUAGUGGGAUUGGCCAAUUAGGAGCCAGUUUUUAGAGCAUCAGUGAUAUCCUCUGGGUGCUAUCGGGCAACAUAACAUUUUUGUAAUCUUGUUUUUCUAAAUGUGUGAUGGAGGUGCACUUCCUCUCUCCACUUCACAACACAUGCAGAUGUCCUGUGGUUCAUCCUGGCUCACUGCAUUGUGACAGAAAGUCUUUUAAAAAGUUGUAGAGCUGGAAAUGAGUUUACCCGCAAAAGGCUUGGACUGACCAACUUGAUUUCUCUUCCCCAAGAGAUUUCAAGUGAUGGGGAGGAAGAAAUGGCAGACAGUAUAUUGUGGGGAGAGGUAGUAAGUGCCAACUGGAGGUGAAUGCAUGGUGAAGCUUUUAUUUCUCUCUGUUGUAUUUAUUCUUCCUGAUCUAAAACAAGUGAAUGUCAUAGAUAAAUGGAACAGGCUAUAACCAUAAGUCCAGUAGAGUCCAUACUAGUCAAAGCAGUCAAAUCUGGUAGGGAAUCAUCCCUGAGAAGCAACUGGUGGUGAGUGGACCUAUCAAUCAAUCAAUAAACAUUUCUCCCCCCCCCAUAUUAUUCAAGCUAAACAUACUUAUAUAUUAUAUAUUGGCCAUUGUUGUAAGAGAAUACUUGCACAAAACAAAAACCCCAAAAUAAAAACAUAAAUAAAUUAAAGUGAAAAAUAGUAUGCCUUGUCUGCCUUCCAACUCCAACAGUUCUUUCUCAGGAGGUGGAGAGCAUUCUUUGUCAUCAGUUCCUUAGAAUUGUCCUGGAUCAUUGUAUUGCUGAGAGUAUGGAGAUGGUAAUGAAUCCCAUGGGAAUGGAUGAAACCAUCCAUUUGUAAAACCAAACCAGUUGUAAAGAGGGAGAAGAGAGGAGGACCCAGGGCAGAACCUGAGGGAUACCUACACUUAGACAGUAUGAUCUGAAGGAGGAUCCAGCAAAGGAGACAGAGAAGUAGUUAGACAGGAUUUAUGAAGGUCCAAAAACCUAGAGAGAAAAGAUUAUCAAGGAAGGGAAAAAAAAGAUCAAUAGUGCCAAAGAUUGCAGAAAAGGUCAAGAAGAUUGAGUAUUAAGAAAAAGGCCAUUGAAUUUGGCCACUAAGAGAUCAUUGGUAACUUUGGAGAGAGUAGAUUUGGUGGAACUAUAUGGUCAGAAGCCAGAUUGUAAGGGCUUAAAAAGGGACUGAGAAGAGAGAAAGUAGAGAUAUCAGUCUCUAAACAAAGGAAAGACUCAUUCAUCAGCUAUUCCAUAUCCCAAGUGAACUUUGUGGACAGGAACCACUUUGAAUUUGAACCGACUCUCCCCAAGGGCUGUGGUAUGACAGGGGGAGAAUGGAUGUUUAGGGAACACUUGCACUUUUGGUGUGAGGGCUUGCUGAGUCUUUUUCAGGAUGACUCCUCUUCCUUUAGUGUUCACUUGUCACCCAACGCUCACCUGUGGCUCCAAGAAACUGUAGUGUGAGCAAUGGCCACACACCAGUAAAACACUUGUUUAAAAACAAACAAACAAACAAACACAGUAAAAUAAAUACACCAGAAAAAAAAAUACAGGUAAACAGGCUAAACCAGGUUGAGAGCCUCAAACCCUCAAGUGAGUUAGAUGUCUACCCCAAGCAUGUGAAGACUUCCCCCACCAAAUGGGUACAUGAGAGCAAUUUGUUCCAAAAUGGCCACAAAGUCAGUUGAAGGAGGUACUGUGGAGCUCUUAGAGCUUGGUCAGACAUUGAAGACAUCAAGGUUAUCUACUGUAUCCUGGGCCAUCACCAGUCAUCUUGACUUGUGUCUUGCCACUAGAAUUCAAUGACUCUGAAAGAGAAUGAGGCCAACAACUUUGAACAACUCUGCCUCACUUAAAUCCAAUUCUUGUUCAAGUCAAGAUAUCACCUUUGUGACAUCAUUGGGCAUCCUUGAAAACAAAGGAUGAACAACAACAAUGGUUGUAAAGGAGAGUGUGCUCACCGGGAGACCAUUGUACCUUUUCAAUGACUGACUCUGCCUAAAAGCUAACUGAUGAUAAAUGGUCAACUGAUAUUGAGGAGAUACUUCCACAUCCCUGGGGUUAGGGACAUGGCAUUCCCAAGAUCUGCAAAAUCCAUGUGCAGGUUGGCAGAGUGAGAACAGAGUCUAUGUGCCACCUCAGGAAUAGCACAGGUCUACCUGACACAGACACGUCUAGGACAUUAUUUCACUCUCCUCCUUGUCCUCCAAACAGGGGAGAAACUACAUUUGCAAAAUCCUUCCUCAAGAUGUAUCUACUGGCUAUUUUAAUGCUCGUCUAAAUUAUACGCUUAUCGAUUUCGUUGAACAAAAAAUAUUUCUCUUUCUACUUAAGCCUCGCUAUAGAACGGGAGACUCAUCAGAUGGGUGACCCAUAGCCAUGGAUUCAUAUCGAGAUUAGGUCUUAUUUCAUUUCUGCAUCUUCCCCAUCGCCCAAACAAUGGCUAUGGCUGGCAAUAAAUCUUCAUAAGUGUCUGUUGAGUUGAAUUGGAUCUUUCUCCCAAAACAUUUUAUCUUGGGUAGCUACAAGAAUGAAAGGCCAGAGCAUUGGCUUUGUAGGGGAGACAGAAUGUCUGCUUUGUAGGCCAGGAAUGUAAGACACAUUAUUAAUGCUGACUGAUUUAUUCUACUGUGGCUGCUCCUUUUAUUAUCUUUAGAAAACCCCUGGAUUUGAAUUAGACAAGUGCCAUGCUCUGCAAUACUGGGAUAGAUUCAAUGGGAAGUCAUGGUACUGGCAUCUAUAUAACCUGGUUUCAGGUUGCUAGCUCUUCCAUUUAGUGACUAGGUGGUCUUGGUCAAGGAAUUUCUUUUCUUUAAAACUCAGGGUCAGGGCAGUGGGGUGGCUCAGCCAAUUGACAGCCAGGCCUAGAGAUUGAAGGUCUUGGGUUUAAAUGGCCUCAGAUACCACCUAGCUGGGUGACCUGGGCAAAUCCCUUACCACUCUUUUGCUUUGGAACCAACACACAGCAUUGAAAUCAAGAUGGAAAGGAUGGGUAAAAAACCCCAAACCCUCAAGGUUCUUAUUUGUAGAAGGGGAAUAAUAAUAUUUAUACAAUCUCUUAGGUACCUUACAGGGGGAAAAGUGUUUUGUAAAUUAUAAACCAAUAUGGAAAUAGGUGCUACUAUUGGGAUUAUAGCAUUAGUGUCAUAUGUAAUUAUAUGUAUACAUAAUUAUAGCUUUAGAGUUUUUCCUUUGAUGCCCUUAGGAACAGAUGUCAUUUGAGUAUCAUUCAUCCUACCAUUCUGUCUUUCUAGAUGCUUUUCUGAUGCAAGAGCAGCAUUUAAGCCCUUAGAUAUAUGUAGGACCAUCAAAUUGAGAGCUGGAAGGGAAUUUAGAAAUGCUUCACUCUAAUCCCAUUAUGGCGAAGUGGAAAGAACUCUGGGCAUGGAUCAGAAGCCUGGAUCUGACUAAUACCUGAAAAAUCUCUUCUAAAAUCAGAUGUAUGGGGGGCAGCUGGGUAGCUCAAUGGAUUGAGAGACAGGAGGUCCUGGGUUCAAAUCUGACCUCAUACUUCCCAGCUCUGUGACCCUGGGCAAGUCACUUGACCCCCAUUGCCUAGCCCUUACCACUCUUCUGCCUUGGAACCAAUACACAGUAUUGAUUCUAAGAGGGAAGGUAAGUGUUUUUAAGAAAAUAAUAAUAAUAAAAUAAAAAAUAAAAAGAUGUAAGGAGCAGCUAGGUGGCUCAAUAGAUUAAGCCAGGCCCAGAGAUGGGAGGUCUUGGGUUCAAAUUUGACCUCAGACACUUCCUACCCUAGGUAGGUGACAUAACUGCAGUUGCUUAGACCUUACUGCUUUUCUGCUUUGGAACCAAUACCAAGUAUUAAUUGUAAGAUGGAAGAUAAGGUGUUUUUUUUUAUUAAAAACAAAAACCACUCAUUUAAUUAAUGGUCAUCCUGACUUUGCUUGAACACCCAAACACCUAUAAUGAGGGAAAACCCACUCCCUUGCCAAGUGUGAAGACUCGAUUUGGCUAUCUCUAGAUUGUGAUAAUGAAGGUACUUAAUUCUUCCUUUAUUGUGAAGAUUAAAUUGUAAUCCCCUGUCUAUUUUUAGAUUUUCAUCCCCAAAAGUGUUAACUCAGUAUUUAAAGUAGAUCUACCCAUUUUAACUAUAAAAAGGUGUUAACUAACCAAAACAGGUAUUAACUAACUACAAAAAGUGUUAAAUAACCAAAAAAGGUGUUAACUAACUACAAAAGGUGUGACACCCAUUUCAUACAUUGAGUGGGCAGUCCUGGAGAGGACCGUCUGCUGUGAUUGGUAGAGGUAAAAAUUUAGGGGAGGUGACACAAGAGAAAAAGGUCUUUAAAUAGAGGAAACAGAGGCAUACAAGGAUGGAUUUGAUUCAGUCACUUGGAGUUAGACUGGAACAGAUCAGUCACUUGGAAUUGGACUGGAAGACACACUUGAGAAACUGGAAGACAGACCUCAGACUUGGAGUGAAGAAGAGACACUUGAGGAGACACUAGAAGACAGACACUCUGAGUUAGAGUGAAGAGACUUGGCUGUGGAACUGGACCCCUGAAGGAGCUCAUGCAGGAGACCUCAGAAUGCUUUCCGUUUAGAUGGUCACAGUGGUGAGUGUGAAAGGCUGACUUAGUUUCCUUGCCUUUCUGGAGGUGAGAACUUCUGAGAAAGGACCAUCAUCUUGAGAUUCUUUUCCCCUGGCUGGGGCUUAGAAUUUCUACCUGGCUAUGAGGAAGCCAGAGCUCUCUCUCCUUCUCUUCCCUUUUUUCUCUUCCUUAAUAUCUUCUCUCUAUUGUAAAAUACACUAUCAUAAUUCUAUUUACUUGAGUAAUUCAUUUUGGGAUUUAGUAAUUAAAUCCCUGGCGACCACCAAUUUAAUAGUCAAUCCUACCACGAUAAAAUUUAACACAAGGGAUGUCUGUGACAAAGAUUGCUAAAAAAAAAAAUUCUUUGCAUUUUCAGUCCACCGUCCAGUGGUUUUCACAUAGUAGUGUUGGUGGAAUAGAGUUAAAUUGUUUUCAUUUAUGUUUUUACUAUUUGAUACUUUAUUUUUUUUAAGAUGAUCAAUAUUUCAGCUGAGGAGAGAAUAAAAAGAAUCCCAGGCAUCUCAACUGCAGCUGAGCACUGGACACAAUCACCACUAUACACUUGCAGUUCAGUGGUGAAAUGUGGGCUGGUUGGUUGUAUUUAUAUUAUUUUAAAGAAAAAAUGCUUCUGUAAAUGGUUGUAGCUGAAUGGGGCCACCAUGUUUCUCUCUUCUGACUCAAUGGCUCAAGUCUCCAUCAAAGAACAUGCACAGAAAUCUCCUCUCAGUUUAUGGUUCUAAGAAUGUGUAAUAACACCUACCUCCCAUGAUUGUGGAAAGGAUGAGAUAUUUGUAAAGUGUUCAGCAAUCUUUAAAGUUAUAUAAAUAUUAGCUUUUUUUUGAGACUCUGAGUCUGCCAUAGAUUUCUGUACCCACCCAUAGCUACCCUCCAAACUUAUACAUUCACACUGAUUCUCAAAGCACUUAAGAUGUGUUGCUCUGCUUCCACAUCUUGUCCCACCUGGUGACCCUCAAUAAUUCUCUAAGUAUCUGCAGGACUGGAACCUUUUGUAGAUGACUCAUCUGACUCUUGAAGCCAUUUGUACCAAUGCCAGACUUAACUUCUCUCUGCCCUUUGUCUCUCUGUCUUUGAGGACAGUGCUAAGGAUGAUGGCUACAUGGGUGGACAGGAAGGGCUAAAACAAAUUGGUUUCAUCAUGUUUUGGUGCAGACUGCUGCACCACCUGGCUUGGAGAACACAAGGCAGCAACUGCUGGAAUACAGCUGAUUUUGGGGAAGGAAAUGUAUGGCAGACAUCAGGAAUGCUUUUUUACAAAAUGCUUUCCCUCCUCUCCCCAUAGACAUGUUGUGUCAAAAAGCACUGCUUCAGGCUUUAUCAAUUGCACUUGCAGACAUGGAGAGAUCACAACUAAAGCAGAGUCUUUGGAGAACUAGGUUGGUCUACCUUCCAGUCCAAGAUGUCUCUAGAUACUUGUCAGGAUCAUGGGAUGAGCCCAGUUUGGCAUCAGAGGCCUUGGUUUAAAUCUCAGCUCUCCCACUUGCUUGCUAUGUGAGCUCAGGCAAGUCACCGAACCUGUGUCCAGAUCUCAUCUUUCUCAUCAGUAGAAUGAGGCACUUGCACAAGACAGUCUCUAAGGUCCCUUCUAUUGCCAAGUCCAUGACUAUGACUUUGGUUCCUAUUUGGGUUCUGUUACCUACCAUUGAUAUAACAGGGGAUUUAGGCCUGGAAGCAACCUGGGACAUCAUCUAGGCCAAACUUCUCAUUUUAUAAAUUUCAUAGGUCCACAGAGGAAAGGGACUCAUCCGAGGUCACACAGUCAGGGGGAUUUGAACCAACGUCCUCAGACUGAAUCUAUCUAUAGCUCUUUACACUGUACUGGUGCCUCACUUCUAUAUGAUCUUAGACAAAUUGCUUCUCCUGGGGCCUGUCUGCUCCUUUGCAAAAUGGAGGGGGAGAGGUCAUCAUUCCUGGUCCUAGAUCCUAGGAUCUUGUGAGAACAAGAGCUAAUUUCCUCUGUUUAGUUUCUGUCAAAAAGUUUACAAGCUAGGGAGCAGCUACAUGGUUCAGAACAGAGAACCAGGACUACAAAUGAGAGGUCCUGGUUUCAAAUGUGGCCUCAGAUACUUCCUAGCUGUGUUACCUGGGCAAGUCACUUGACCCCCAUUGCCUAGCCCUUACCACUCUUCUGCCUUGGAACCAAUACACAGUAUUGAUUCUAAGACAGAAAGUAAGGGUUAAAAAAAAAAGUUCACAAGCUCCUUUUAAAAAAUUGUACCUGUUUUGGUUAGAUGAUAGAAACUGUGAUUAGCAGGGCUUCCCUUUCUUGAACAACUUUUGGGAAGCUCAGUGCCAGCUUCAAUACCCACUUAUCUCAGGUGCCUGCUGAGAUCUGCAGGGUUCUUUGCUAUUUUCAGGUGAUCUUGGCUGUUUUUCCCUUAUUUUUUGGUAUUUUAAAGUAUGUUUAAUUUUGUGU